rnacentral:rRNA from 1 species
CAACGCGACCCCAGUC